rnacentral:rRNA from 1 species
GACGAACGCUGGCGGCGUGCUUAACACAUGCAAGUCGAACGGAAAGGCCCUGCUUUUGUGGGGUGCUCGAGUGGCGAACGGGUGAGUAACACGUGAGUAACCUGCCCUUGACUUUGGGAUAACUUCAGGAAACUGGGGCUAAUACCGGAUAGGAGCUCCUGCUGCAUGGUGGGGGUUGGAAAGUUUCGGCGGUUGGGGAUGGACUCGCGGCUUAUCAGCUUGUUGGUGGGGUAGUGGCUUACCAAGGCUUUGACGGGUAGCCGGCCUGAGAGGGUGACCGGCCACAUUGGUACUGAGAUACGGCCCAGACUCCUACGGGAGGCAGCAGUGGGGAAGAUUGCAGAAUGGGCGGAAGCCUGAUGCAGCAACGCCGCGUGCGGGAUGACGGCCUUCGGGUUGUAAACCGCUUUCGCCUGUGACGAAGCGUGAGUGACGGUAAUGGGUAAAGAAGCACCGGCUAACUACGUG